rnacentral:misc_RNA from 1 species
GAUGAAGAACGUAGCGAAAUGCGAUAAGUAAUGUGAAUUGCAGAAUUCAGUGAAUCAUCGAAUCUUUGAACGCACAUUGCGCCCGCCAGUAUUCUGGCGGGCAUGCCUGUCCGAGCGUCAUUUCAACCCUCAAGCCCCCGGGCUUGGUGUUGGAGAUCGGCGAGCCCCCCGGGGCGCGCCGUCUCCCAAAUAUAGUGGCGGUCCCGCUGUAGCUUCCUCUGCGUAGUAGCACACCUCGCACUGGGAAACAGCGUGGCCACGCCGUAAAACCCCCCACUUCUGAAAGGUUGACCUCGGAUCAGGUAGGAAUACCCGCUGAACUUAAGCAUAUCAAUAAGCGGAGA